GCCCGAGUGGCUCAGUGGUUUGAGCGUCUGACUUGAAUUUGGCUCAGGUCAUGGUCCCGGGGAUCAUAGGAUCAAGCCCUGCAUCGGGCU
rnacentral:tRNA from 1 species